AUGGGCCCUCUAGGACUUCCAAAUUGCUGGUCUGGGAAUAGGACCCAAUUCUAUAUGCCUCUGUCUUGGGAGGAGGGCUGCCUUAAUCUGAGUGAAACAGGAGGUCACCUGUGAGAGUGUGCUGGAGGCACGGUCCCUUGAUGUAGCUAGAGGAAAGGGCCGUGGAGCUGCCAUUUCUUGAGUCAGGGUCAGAGGGGAGUGGAGUGAAGUAACUCCAAUUUUCAGGGAGAAGAAGACUAGAGAUACAGGGAACCACCCCGUGGGUGUUGCAGAGGCAGCUGUUUAAAUAAAUUCCUCUAGCCAGAAAUUGCCUUGAUAGGCAGAAGGGUGUGUCUCCCUGGGAGGGGACCAAAGAUCAUGACCCGGAGACAUUGUGAUGACUGAGCAGAGAUAAAAGAGGAGGAGACAGUGCAGCUGCACCUCCAGAGGCAUUUGGGGCUGCUGCAGAGGCUGGUGACCUCUGGCUGGAGAGCAGAGUGGAGAGCUCUAGGCUUCCUCUGGGACUAUCUCCAGGGUCAGAAUCAACCGCAACUUCUCAGGUUACCUGAGAGCAGAAAAGGGGCAGGGCCAGGGCACCAGCAGAGGAGACAGAGCUUGGUUGGCCAAGCUGAAGAAGAGAGAGGUCAUCAGGGACUACUAGAUCAUGGCAGCAGCGACCGCCUGCAUCUUGGCACAGAAAAAGAUUUCCAGCAACUGUGAGCUGAAUAAAGUUUUUUCGCCUCUUCCUCUAAACUCCACGAGUUCGUGCCCCCGUCUGCCUCUUCAAACAUUUGCUUAGAUACAGCUUUGUUGACAAGCGUCCCGUCUUGGCGAUGCCGCCUGCUCUUCCGUGCUUCUCAAGCAUCCUCGGCCGCCCCUAGGCGGACCCCUUCCUGAGACUUCCCAUCAGAGGCUCAUCUCCUCCCACCGUUCCACUGGGGCACUUUGUCUACGCAGACUGUGGUUUUUAUUUCUCGUUGGACUGUGUACCGCUGUUUUUGUUUUAGCAGUUCAUACACUUCUGGGCCCUCAGCAAGGGCUCAGUAAAGUUGUGCCUUGGCUUUCUAGCCUGUUACAGCCCCAAGGAAAUGGUGCUCGGAACCGUGGUCGCCUUUCGCAUCCUACGUGGAUCAAACCAGUUAGGAGGCGUUAUCGGUGGAGCUUUUGAGGGCAAAGAAAGUUGUAUGUUGGGCCGAAGAGGGGGGUCCCCGUAAAACCUGGGGCCCUCGUCGUGCUUUCCAGACCGGCCCGAAACGCACCCCUCGGCCAGAGAGAGAGCCCAACGCCCGUCGCAGGCGGGGGCGACAGCGGCUAUCUGCAAAACCCGGCGGCGGAUCCGGGCCGGCCCGGAAGUGGC
rnacentral:lncRNA from 1 species